rnacentral:rRNA from 1 species
AUUGAACGCUGGCGGCAGGCCUAACACAUGCAAGUCGAACGAGUGGCGGACGGGUGAGUAAUGUCUGGGAAACUUCCUGAUGGAGGGGGAUAACUACUGGAAACGGUAGCUAAUACCGCAUACCAUCAGAUGUGCCCAGAUGGGAUUAGCUAGUUGGUGUGGUAACGGCUCACCAAGGCGACGAUCCCUAGCUGGUCUGAGAGGAUGACGAGUCACACUGGAACUGAGACAAGGUCCAGACUCCUACGUGAGGCAGCAGUGGGGAAGAUUGCACAAUGGGAGCAAGCCUGAUGCAGCCAUGCCGCGUGUAGGAAGAAGGCCUUCGGGUGGUAAAGGACUUUCAGCGGGGAGGCGUUACCCGCAGAAGAAGCACCGGCUAACUCCGUGCCAGCAGCCGCGGUAAUAC